rnacentral:lncRNA from 1 species
UCCCUCAUUCUUCAGUCGCACCCCGUUUCUCUGUACUCUCUCUCUAAACCAGCUCCACCUCACUGUUCCACCGCCGCCACCGGACGGUUGUCCUUUUCAAGACCACCAUCUGCCGUCCUCCUCACCCGGCGUCAACCCCUCAUCGGCGCCCCCUCUCUCCUUUUCUUCCGACAAGAAUAGCUACCCAACACCAGCAACAACCAACGACAGCAGCCGGCGGAGCAGCUAUAGUGGCUGCCGCUGCUCCAUCCUCCCCUCCUACGCCGGUGAAAUCACGGCAAAACACCCAACAACAAGCCAACCAGCGCCGCCUCUAUCCCGUUCGUGACAUCCUCGCCGAAGUUGAUGACCGGCGAGGUCUGUGAUUAUGGCCUGGUUUUGUCCCUUUUUUCUUAUCUCAAAUUGCAUGCUUUGCUUUCGAAUUAUCCGAAUCUGUCUCUUAUAUUUAAAAUUCGCGGUAUUUGACUCUGAAUUUGGAUUCAAAUCGUUUAAUUAUAAACGUGUUUAUGUUCAUCUCUAGAUUGUUAUAUGUGAAAACCCCUUUAAGUUAUACGAGUUUUAUCCUAAUCCUAAUGUUCGACUUGAAGGCUGAUUUCGGACAAUCCCUUAAUCUUGAUCCUCUCUUUAUGUCGCUGUUAUUGAGACAGUGUUGAAAUUAUGUUUUUCUUAUUGUUUCGUGGGUAAUCUUGAAAUGGUGAUUUGAUAUUCUGAUUUGUGUGCUCAAUAUCCUUAGAAAUUAGAAAUUAAUUAUAACGACCUUAUGAUAGCUUAUUUUUGGCAGAUUUGAAUUUAACAUGUUAGUGGAUUAUGUUUGGUAACUUUAGAGCUGACUUUGCACGUAAUUGCAAUCACCCAAUCAAGGAAUAUUUUAUAUUUUCUUCGAUUCUUCUGUUUUGGCAAAAUUAUAUGAUUGAUUCCGUUGAUUUUUCUGUUUGAUAAACACUAGGGUCGCUCAUAUUCUAUGUUAUUUAUUUUGCUUGCUUAUUUAUGGUAAUUCCUUGAUUUAAUUAAUUUCGUGUGAUUUGUGGUGGGUAUUUUUCUAACCUUUUUACUGAUUGCCUUUCCUUUCCUCCAACUUGGACAACUUUUCAUUAGUUUAUUUUGACAGUGUCGACGUAAUUUGUGAUACUAUGUUAAUUCAAAUUAGUGCAUUAAGGAAAAAAAUAUUCUGAUUGACUCUGCAAAAUGUUCUCCCUCCAUCCCUAUUUUGGGGAAAAUUUUCAACUCUUGGCCUAUAUAAAACCAACCACUUUUCAUUCUUAAAAGGGGGAACACACUCUAUAUUCUCUAUACUCUUUCACUCUCUAUACGAAAAUAAAGCUUUAAAUAUUCUUUCAAAAACAAAAUCACUUCUGAAUUGGCAUUCACUGUUGGAGAAUCGGUCUUGACUUUAUCUGCGUUGGUUCAUGCUUUAACUUUGUGCUACUUGGUUUUCCUAUUGUUGUUUGUUAUCUUCAACUAGUAAGUUCCUGCCGAUGCAACUUUUAUUCCUUAUGUGAUGAUGCUAGAAAACAUGCCUCUAGAAACUAUGUAGUAUUUGUACUUAAUUUGCUGUGUCUUUGUUUCCUUGUUUCUGUGUUUUUGAAGCACUGUGUGGGGUAUUCGCCCCUUUUCCUUUGUGCUACUUUAUUUAUGACAAACAGGUAUAAUUAGAGAUGUUGAGGGAUUGGAAGAGUCGCCGGGAGUUUAUGGGAAAAGGGGGUUGUUCAUUCCCUUUUAUUUAUUUAUUUAUUUGUUCAUUUUUUAUUAAUUCAUUGUAUCGUAACAGCUUUUGUAAAUCUCUAUUAUGUAAUAAUAAAAGGGGGGGACUACUUGUAGGGUUGGGGAUUACGUUAUUUAUUUGCUUGCAUGAAUUACUUAGGCAAAUAUAAUGUAGGAUUAAUAAUAAACUUUAUAUCACCUAGAAAUCAUGUUUUAGGAGCUUUAAUCAACCUUCGACAUAUUAAAUUAAGUACGAAUGUGUCAGUUUAAUUUACAGCAUGUUUAAUUUUUAAACAAAUUUUUGACAUGUUAUAAACAUACUUUCAGUCUUCAUUUUGUUUCUACAGCACGCUUAUGUUAUUUUCACACGUUUUAUUAACUUUCGGCCUUUGAAUUAAUUUUCAGCAACUAGAUAUUAAUUUUUCCGCAACUAUAACUUAAUUUUCAGUAUUUAAAUAAUAUUUCAGCAUAUUUAAUAUUAUUUCCAGCAAUCAAAAGUAAAUUUCAGCGCACGAAAAUCUUUUUUUAGUUUAUUGGCAUAAUAAUCAAACAUGUCUAUUUAUGCUUUUCAACCAAAAGUUAUUUGUGCAUGAUAGGUUGAUAAUUUUAUUUUGCACUAUUUAAGUUUCAACAAAUCCAUCAUACCUUUGUCUAACACUUUUUAGGUUUUAAAUUAGGCAAAAUAAUCUUCUGGACCCCUGUACUAUAUCGGUUUUGUAAGUUGGACACUUCUACGUAGAUGUUUGUCAUCUGGACCCUUGAACUCAUUAAAAAACAACAUUUUAAAUAUUUUUUUGGUGAGUGUAAUGCACUCGCCACUUCAGCUUCCACGUCAUUUUUAUUUUUAAAUAUAAAAAAUAUUAAAAUAAAUAAAUAAUUAAAUAAAUAAAUAAAUAAACCCCUCCCCCUUCCUCUCUCUUCCCCAUUUUUCUGAUUUGCAUUUCUUCUUCUUCCUUUUCUUAUGGUUUUCCCUCCUCUUCUCCUUCUUCUUUUCGUUCAUCAUUUUAAUCUUCUUAUUCUUCUCACUCUUUGAAAAAAUUGAAAAGAAACGCUCAAGCACUAAGAGGCCAAAAAAAGCACAAUUUUUUUUCUUUUGUUGCACAAUUUCUGGCAAUUCUUGAAGCUUUUCGUUCACCGAUUUGUUUGUGUUUGAGCUUUGGUUGUUGAAGAUGAUGAUGAUCUAAAGAUUACUCAAUUUGUAGCAGCUGAUGAUUAGAUUUUUAUUGUUUGUUUGGAAAAAUUGAGAAGUGAGAGUCAAAGAAGAAAGAUUCUUGUUAUUUGAUUCUUGUUGUUUAUUUGGAAAAAUUGAGAAGUGAGAAUCGAAGAAGAAAUAAAACCACGUCAUUUGUUUGUUUGUUUCUUGUUGAUUCUUUAUCUUCAUCUUCUGAUUCUUGUUGGUUGUGUUGAUUUGUUUGGAAAAAAAUUUCUCAAAGUUCUAUUCGAUUGUAUUGAUUUNNNNNNNNNNNNNNNNNNNNNNNNNNNNNNNNNNNNNNNNNNNNNNNNNNNNNNNNNNNNNNNNNNNNNNNNNNNNNNNNNNNNNNNNNNNNNNNNNNNNNNNNNNNNNNNNNNNNNNNNNNNNNNNNNNNNNNNNNNNNNNNNNNNNNNNNNNNNNNNNNNNNNNNNNNNNNNNNNNNNNNNNNNNNNNNNNNNNNNNNNNNNNNNNNNNNNNNNNNNNNNNNNNNNNNNNNNNNNNNNNNNNNNNNNNNNNNAUUUUUAAAUUAAAAAACUGAAAAAAAGCUUUAAUCCUUUUUUUUUAUUUUUUUAAAUUAUUUUAAUAUAAAAUUGGCCAAAAAUUGACCCUCACUCGUACUCCAGGCGAGUGACUAUACUCUCCAAGUUCCCAGUCGGCACUUUAAUGCCACAUAGGCAAAGUCAACGGUCAAAGGGUUUGAAAUGUUGCUUUUUAAUGGGUUCAGGGGUCCAGAUUACAAACAUGUAAGUAGAAGUGGCCAACUUACAAAACAGACAUAGUACAGGGGUCCAGAUUACAAACAUGUAAGUAGAAGUGGCCAACUUACAAAAUCGACAUAGUACAGGGGUCCAGAAGCUCAUUUUGCCUAUACUUAUAACAUGUCAACCUGUCUUUGGACAUUAGAGAUAUGCUUAUAGGCCUAAUCAUAUAAAACGAAUAAUGUUUUUUUAGCAAGUUAAUCACCUUAAUCAACUUUUAAUUAAUCAAAAGGCUUAAUUUAGACUACUACGUGCUACUUGUUGCCCAAUAUAUUUUACGUGCUUUGAAUCUAACUAGGAAGCCUAUGUUUAUUUGUCUAGACCUUAAAUUCAAAGUAGAAAAGUCCAAUGCCUCUUAGAUGAUAGGUUGGGACGGUAGGCAUUCUAGGAAACACUAGUUUUAUUCUUUCUUUUCUAGAAUGUUGUUAGGCUUUACAAUCAAUAGGCUAGGUGUGGGGUGGGUAGGCAUUCAGAGGCGAUAAUAACUCAAAUAUAAUUAGACACUGCAACACAUGUCACGGUCAGCUGUUUAUAAUCCGACUGCUGGUUAAUGGGCCGGGUAAUGAUUAACAAAUUGGCUACUGAUCCGAAUAAACGACAUAACUCCUUGGUUUGAUCAGUCGAACUUGUUUUUCUUUCUUUUUCAAUUACUUUAUAUGUUUGGGGUAGUUUAGGAUCUUUAGUUUAAUAUAAAUAUUUUGUUAUAAAUUAUGUCCUUUCUCUCUCCUCGCUUGUCAUAUUUAUGUGCUUUAUUGAUUUUAUCACUUAGAUAAUUUAUAAUAAUUAAAUUACAUUUUUUGUUUUUCCACUUAGUAAUAUUUAAAUUAAUAAAAAAUAAUUGAUCUUUGUUUAUCACAUAAAAUUUUCACGUAAAGUAUGAAUUUUACUGGGAACCACAUUUGUGGACCUCGAAAGAUGCCUAACACCUUUCUUUCGAGGUAAGUUGAACCCUUAUCCGAUUUUCUAGUGAACUAAAAUAAAUAACAAAAAUAGAUUCAUAGUUAACUUAGAAUGGUACCUAAUGCACAUUAAUUCAUUGGGUGUGACAUACUACCUAGUUCCCUUUGUAUAUUGAAUUUAGAACUUGCCUGGUUAGUCUUGCCUAUGUUGAAAGAUAGUCGGUUAGGAAAGGAUCAUAGGCCCGUUAUGUUAGUUCACUUUUAGCCUAAAUGACCCUCCAUGUGUGAAUUAUAUCUCUUAAUCCUUAUUAUGAGCCUUGUAACCUAUUUUUCUUGUUCAUCAUUCACCUUCCCAUUUAUAGUACAAUGAAUCUGUUUUGGCCAUCCUUGGACAUUGUGCACCUCAACUCAGGCAAAAUGCCUAAGUUGAGGGUGACUAUCAUAAGGGUACGUAGUGUAAAAUGGAUAUGAAGAAGGGUAAAAUAAGAGAAAAAUUUAGCAGGGCUGGGUGUGGUAGAAAAAGAAAAGAAAAAAAAUUAUAAAAAAAUAAAAAAAAAUAAAAGACCACCCCCAAUCUGAAUGUGCAUAAAAGAAUAAAAAAGGAGAAAUAAGGGUUAAAUAAAAAGGAGAUUGUCUAGUAAAUGAGACCCCAAAGUUAGUGUAGUACCAAAGAGGUUUAGUCACUUGAUAUGUCCAUAUGUACCAUACCAGCCCCCAAGCCUACGUUACAAGCUAAAUAAAUUUCUAUAAUGAUCUUAACUUGACUAUCGGAAUGCUAAGGUAAAGAAAAUAAGCGCAAGCCUAUGGUAUUUGACAUGGAUUGAUUGGAACUUCUCUUCUGAGUGCGAGUGUAUCUUGGCUGUCCCUGCAUUAACAUGCAUGAUUUCAUAUGAGUGAGUGGGACAUUCUUGUUGUGAGGACACUUGAGUCAUAUUGCUAGUUAUUUGUUUGUUUCGGAUAGUGUAACUUGUAUAUAUAAGUGGUUAUCUGUUGCUAAUGUAAUUGCCAUACCUUAAUCCCAGUGUGUCACAUUGUUGUGCUUCAUGUUCACACACAGUUGGUUUUAAAAAACAAGAUUGGAGAGGGUUGUUGUGUUUGGAGCUUUACAUGUUGACUAACUGCCUUGGAUAACUUAGUUUCUCCUAGUUAAACGUCGUUUUUAUUUUUGUUGUGCUUUGUUGCCUGAGGAUAUGCGAACAUUCUAAGUUGAUGAUGUUGAUGUGCUAUAGAAAUAUAACUCUUUCGAUGCUUAAAAUGAGGAAAAGAUGUAUGUUUCUAAGAUUAUUUUGUUAGAUAUGAUGUCUUUUGGGUAUGUUUUGUAGGAAACCAUGUUUUGGAUGAUAAGUUUGUGACAAAGGUAUUUUUGGCCAUUUUUGAAGCAAUUAUGGAUAUUCG